GGAGGGUUGGCCGAGUGGUUUAUGGCGCUGGUCCUGAAAACCAGUGGGUCUUAAAGCCCUCAGAGGUUCGAAUCCUCUACCCUCCG
rnacentral:tRNA from 1 species